rnacentral:pre_miRNA from 1 species
UCUUAUGGAUGAGCAAUGGCAGUGGUUUCUUGAGAAGGAAUCUACUCAUGGUGAAGUUGCUGUGAA